CAGCCGCCGCGGGAAUACGUAGGUCCCGAGCGUUGUCCGGAUUUAUUGGGCGUAAAGCGAGCGCAGGCGGUUAGGUAAGUCUGAAGUUAAAGGCUGUGGCUUAACCAUAGUACGCUUUGGAAACUGCUUAACUUGAGUGCAGAAGGGGAGAGUGGAAUUCCAUGUGUAGCGGUGAAAUGCGUAGAUAUAUGGAGGAACACCGGUGGCGAAAGCGGCUCUCUGGUCUGUAACUGACGCUGAGGCUCGAAAGCGUGGGGAGCGAACAGGAUUAGAGACCCCCGUAGUCCCUGUCUCUUAUACA
rnacentral:rRNA from 1 species